AAAUGAUUGUAUGCAUGACAGUUCAAUCUUUUCCGAUCAUGUUUACACUUAAUGUGUUCAUAACAUUGCCAAAAGUAUUAUGGUUUAUUUUGGUAAGUGAGAAAUACACUGGUAAACCUUUAGUGACACUUUUCUGAACGUGUGUUUGGACUAUGCAAAUAAGUUCGUUCCACAGGAGGAAAGAAGGGUGAGCCACAGCGUGUCCCGCCACUCUGAUUGAGACAGCCAAUCACAGCCUGGGAAUGGAGAAGCGCCAGAUUGCAAUCUCCUCCUCAUCGAAAAGAGAUAAAUGUACCUUCCCAAAAGACACUCCUUACCCACGAAGAAUCAUCCAUUCCUUGAGAACUGAUGCUCCAGUGAAGACUCAGGCAACGCCCCCUCAGGUUAUAUCCACUAACGGGUAUACCCCUGUACUGCAGGAUAUGCUGAAUGUGUCAGCGCUGGACAGGUGUUUAAUGGAUUUGGGCUGAGCAGGGAGGCCUGGACAGUGCUGCUGGAUCUUCUGAAAAGGGCCACAAUCCAGUCCCUGGUGUUUCUUUUCUGCCUGCCGGUGCAUCAUUGUAAUGUCCCAAGACGUAUUUUAUUGUUGUUAAUACUGUGAAAUGCUGUGUGUAAUAAUUGUGCCUCCCUGAUGCCUAACAUCCUUUUGUGAAGUGUAGUUUUUGCCUGUUUUCCUCUGUUCCUCCCUGUCCUCUCACAGGAACUUAUUGAUGUCACCUGUUCCUCAUCAGAGCUGUGAAGAGGAGCUUGUAUUUAAACAGAGGGAAAGGACUGUUCAUCAUAGAGAGUUUGGACUUGUCUGUUUUCUCCGAUGGUGUUCUCUGAGUAAUGGUGCUGCUUUAAGAAAGCCUGUUGUAUUUGUUCACUAUUGUGUGCUCAGGGCCUUAGUGUUUCUUCAAGAAAGCCUGUUAUACUAGCUGUAGUGAUUGUGCUCAUUUUUCUUAAGUAGCAUAUGUUACUCCCCUUGUAACAUCAAACAGAGUGGUCUCCAUGUGCCUGGUUCCACUGUCGCCAUAUUGUCCUCUGAGGAGGUGCUGGCCGUUCACCAAGAGAUUCACCUCCUGAAGACCCCAGAAUAUA